rnacentral:rRNA from 2 species
UGGAUCCAGACCUUGAUUAUGGCUCAGGAUGAACGCUAGCUACAGGCUUAACACAUGCAAGUCGAGGGGCAGGGGGAUUGAAGCUUGCUUCAAUUGCCGGCGACCGGCGCACGGGUGAGUAACGCGUAUCCAACCUUCCGUACACUCAGGGAUAGCCUUUCGAAAGAAAGAUUAAUACCUGAUGGUAUGAUGAGAUUGCAUGAUAGCAUCAUUAAAGAUUUAUCGGUGUACGAUGGGGAUGCGUUCCAUUAGGUAGUAGGCGGGGUAACGGCCCACCUAGCCAACGAUGGAUAGGGGUUCUGAGAGGAAGGUCCCCCACAUUGGAACUGAGACACGGUCCAAACUCCUACGGGAGGCAGCAGUGAGGAAUAUUGGUCAAUGGACGAGAGUCUGAACCAGCCAAGUAGCGUGAAGGAUGAAGGUCCUACGGAUUGUAAACUUCUUUUAUAAGGGAAUAAACCCUCCCACGUGUGGGAGCUUGUAUGUACCUUAUGAAUAAGCAUCGGCUAACUCCGUGCCAGCAGCCGCGGUAAUACGGAGGAUGCGAGCGUUAUCCGGAUUUAUUGGGUUUAAAGGGAGCGCAGACGGGUCGUUAAGUCAGCUGUGAAAGUUUGGGGCUCAACCUUAAAAUUGCAGUUGAUACUGGCGUCCUUGAGUGCGGUUGAGGUGUGCGGAAUUCGUGGUGUAGCGGUGAAAUGCUUAGAUAUCACGAAGAACUCCGAUUGCGAAGGCAGCACACUAAUCCGUAACUGACGUUCAUGCUCGAAAGUGUGGGUAUCAAACAGGAUUAGAUACCCUGGUAGUCCACACGGUAAACGAUGGAUACUCGCUGUUGGCGAUAUACUGUCAGCGGCUUAGCGAAAGCGUUAAGUAUCCCACCUGGGGAGUACGCCGGCAACGGUGCAACUCAAAGGAAUUGACGGA